rnacentral:rRNA from 1 species
GACGAACGCUGGCGGCGCGCUUAACACAUGCAAGUCGAACGGAAAGGCCUGCUUUCCCUUGUGGAUUGCGGGUACUCGAGUGGCGAACGGGUGAGUAACACGUGAGUGAUCUGCCCCCAACUUGGGUAUAAGCCUGGGAAACUGGGUCUAAUUCCCGAUAGGACUGCAGGGUGGUGCCUGUGGUGGAAAACGAUUUUCUAGUGGUUGGGGAUGAGCUCGCGGCCUAUCAGCUUGUUGGUGGGGUAAUGGCCUACCAAGGCGGCGACGGGUAGCCGGCCUGGGAGGGUGGACGGCCACAUUGGGACUGAGAUACGGCCCAGACUCCUACGGGAGGCAGCAGUGGGGAAUAUUGCACAAUGGGCGGAAGCGUGAUGCAGCGACGCCGCGUGGGGGAUGACGGCCUUCGGGUUGUAAACUCCUUUCGACCGCGAGGAAGCCACCUGGUUGGAAGGGUGGUGACGGUAGUGGUAGAAGAAGCACCGGCUAACUACGUG